CCCCCCCCCCCCCCCGCUAGCUCUGCAGCUGCACCCAGGAUGCGGCCCGCUGGGCUCAGGGAUGCUGGGUGUGCUGGGGACGGCCUGGCCCCCAUCCGGUCUUCCACUGCGCCUGGGGCAGCCUGACAGCUUUUGACUCAGGACGAGCAUUAGGCUCUGGGUGCUGUGAAUCUGAGAGAAAACAGACCAGCGUGGAACACUGUUGCUCCCCUGCAGUGGGUCUGAGGUGACCACGUGGCUUCUUCCAGAAGGCUUGCUUCAGGCCAGUUUUAUUUGUUCUGAACGCCUACCCCUCCUGGGAAGGGGUGGCAGCUCCGGCCACACCCGUCCUCUUCUCUCUACUGACUGCACGAUUCUGAUACUCGGCGUGGGGGGAAAAGAAAAAAAGUGGGGGAAAAGGCAUCAUGCCCCAGACUCCCUCUCACAUUAUUGGGCGCCUCGUGUUCUUGCGAGACCCCCACUGACUGGCGAGGUGCGUCUCCAGGCCUGCUUGGGCCCGAAUGUUUGAGGUGGGAGAGCCGAAGCGGACCUAAGAAGCGGGACCUUGACUUCUGUGCUCGGGGAAGAGCAGACUGACCUUGGAAUGCCGAAGGAGCUCAUUCCCCAGGACUGCCAUCUUGCUGCCGGUGCCUUGGCUGCACGUGACCAGUGGUGACAGCUCGAGGCUCCAGAGCUUAGCUGAAUGAUCAAGGUGCUGCCCUUCUGGGCAUCGUGGCUCACUCCGCUGUUGCCGUUGCGGGAAGAUGCCCCCAAAGACGGUUGGGAAGUGACUGUCGUAUGGCCAGCCUCUCUGUGGAGGACAAGUGUCGCGUCAGCUAGGGAGCAAUGGAGAGGAAUCCGGCCGGUAAGGAGGUGGGUGAUGGAAGGAAAGCUCCCCAGUGGGCUGGAAAGCAGGAGCCCCUGGCAGCCUGGGCUCCCUCCCUCCAUGGAGCCUGAUCCCCCGGCAGGGAAGCUCUGGGGCCUUCCUGAGGCUUUGCCGCUCGGUUUGGCUUUUCUCUAGGGUUGGCAUUCUGAGCCACUACUGCAUCGGUUCCAAUUGGGUAUAAAGAGGAGGCCUGGAUCUCUUAAACUCAUCACUUCUUUCAGGUCAUAAUUUUAAAUUAAAACUAUAUCACUUUUUUUACACA